GGAUCCAGACUUUGAUUAUGGCUCAGGACGAACGCUGGCGGCGCGCCUAACACAUGCAAGUCGAACGAGAGAGAAGAAGCUUGCUUCUUUGAUCGAGUGGCGAACGGGUGAGUAACGCGUGAGGAACCUGCCUCAAAGAGGGGGACAACAGUUGGAAACGACUGCUAAUACCGCAUACGCCCACGGGUCGGCAUCGACCAGAGGGAAAAGGAGCAAUCCGCUUUGAGAUGGCCUCGCGUCCGAUUAGCUAGUUGGUGAGGUAACGGCCCACCAAGGCGACGAUCGGUAGCCGGACUGAGAGGUUGAACGGCCACAUUGGGACUGAGACACGGCCCAGACUCCUACGGGAGGCAGCAGUGGGGAAUAUUGCACAAUGGGGGAAACCCUGAUGCAGCGACGCCGCGUGGAGGAAGAAGGUCUUCGGAUUGUAAACUCCUGUUGUUGAGGAAGAUAAUGACGGUACUCAACAAGGAAGUGACGGCUAACUACGUGCCAGCAGCCGCGGUAAAACGUAGGUCACAAGCGUUGUCCGGAAUUACUGGGUGUAAAGGGAGCGCAGGCGGGAAGACAAGUUGGAAGUGAAAUCCAUGGGCUCAACCCAUGAACUGCUUUCAAAACUGUUUUUCUUGAGUAGUGCAGAGGUAGGCGGAAU
rnacentral:rRNA from 1 species